rnacentral:rRNA from 1 species
UACGUAGGGCGCGAGCGUUGUCCGGAAUCAUUGGGCGUAAAGAGCUCGUAGGCGGUCUGUUGCGUCCGCUGUGAAAACUCGGGGCUUAACCCCGAGCCUGCAGUGGAUACGGGCAGACUAGAGGUAGGUAGGGGAGAAUGGAAUUCCCGGUGUAGCGGUGAAAUGCGCAGAUAUCAGGAGGAACACCGGUGGCGAAGGCGGGUCUCUGGGCCGAUACUGACGCUGAGGAGCGAAAGCAUGGGUAGCGAACAGG